rnacentral:rRNA from 1 species
AGAAACAGUCUAACCACAGAGAAGCCUGAACUCAUUAGAUCUCAGACGCUAAAUAAGACUGGUCUUCAUCAGUGCUGGGAUGGAAGACCUGUUGGGAAAAAAACGGGCUGUUGCUU